AAUUCGAAUUUGAGUAUCCUAAAUCGACCCUCCCCCCCCCCGUACUGAAGACCUGCCCUUAGUUUGUUAGCAUUUGUAGUGUGCUGUUAAGUUGGUCAGAAGUCCUCAAGAGGGGAGGGGUGAGUGGGAUGGAAGGUGUUUAAACAGUGUUUUUGAUUUCUGCUCCAGCCUCGACUAUGAGCAUUCUAACCAAGGGACUGAAAACUUUAAGACAAUACCAGGACAGCAUUUCAUGGGAAAUCUGGGAUGUUUUCCUGACAAUACUGAAAGCUGUACGUUUAUCAUCUUGUCUUCUGAACCAGGUUUCAUAUUGUCUGGCCGCUGUUGGACCACUGGCUUGAUUCUGCUGUGAGUCCUGUAUGCUCUGUGAUGGUGAUUGUCACAUAAGCCCAUGUGCUCUAGUCUAGAGCAUGAGAUCAGCCUCUAGGGCUAGACAUAGGACUAAGUUGUGGCAGGUUUUAAAGGAAAGGACAAAGAACUUGCAUUUGAUGCAGAAGGUGAGAGGAAACAAGUGAAGGAAUUUGCAGAUGGGCUGAAUGUGGUCAAAGCUAUAGGUGAGGUAGAUACGUUAUUCAGCUGAGUUUCGGAUGGAUUGGAGGAGUAUGAAACAGAAAACAGAGAGGAUGUGGGUACAGAUGUCAAGAAGACACAAGAUGAUCAAAACAUGGACAAGUGUUGGUGAUAGGAGAGGUGAAGAAUGAUCGGGUUUCUGACCUGUUUUGUAGAAUAAGCCAGCAUAAAUUAGUGAUAGUGACAAUGUUGGGGGAGAAGGAUAAAGUUUAAAACAGUUAUACUAGGUUGUGAGCUAGAGGGGUAGGGAGAAUGGUAACAUUGUUGAUCAUAGAAUCAUAGACUCAUAGAAUAUCAGGGUUGGAAGGGACCUCAAGAGGUCAUCUAGUCCAACCCCCUGCUCAAAGCAGGACCAAUUCCCAACUAACUAGAUAGUUAUGGAGAAUAAAGGAUAAGGGUUUUGGAAAAGAGAUAUAUACUUCAGUUUUUGACAUAUUUACUCUGAGCUAGCAGCAGGAUAUUCAAGAGGAGAUGUCUGAGGCCAGACCUAUAUUAAAAAGUUAAGUCAACCCAGCUACGUUGCUUGUGAAUGAAAAAUCCACACCUGGAGUGACGUAGUAAAACCGACCUAACCCCCGACAUAGACAGUGGUAGGUCGAUAGAAAAAUUCUUACAUCCAGCUAGCUACCAGCUCUUGGGGAGGUGGAUUAACUGCAGCAACAGGAGAACUCCUCUUGUUGCUGUAGUGAGUGUCUACACUGAAGCUGAGCCACAGUAGCGUUUUAAGUGUCGACAUACUUUCAGACACUUUAAAUUCCAAAUCUGAAUGCAGAGGAAGAAGUUGGGCAGAAAAAGAUUUGCAAAUCAUUCUCUUAGAAAUUAGGUCAAUUCAUUUGAGUCUGCUUACUCCAAAGGGGAAUUUGGCCCAAAGCCUGUGGGAAUCAAUUGCAGCAAGUUUGUGGAGGGUUUUGAAAAACAAUAAGGUAAUUUUGAACUGGAUCCCAAAAUGAUUGAGGAACUAAUGAGAGCUACACUGCAAGAAUCACUCUUCAAGGAGGACACCAGACUGAUUUCCAGGGGUAUAACCAUCACAUGCUAUUGAAGGCACCUUACUUACUUCCAAGCAUUUGUAAAAACUCUGGAGGUUAAUUUAUAGUAGGUUAAGUAAAAGGAAUAAAAUACAUGAAAGCAAGUAAAGUUGGUCACACUUGGUGUUUCCAGUGCUGUAAUUAAAAAUUGUAUUCAUAUUAUUUGUUGGGAUGGUAUAAUAAAACCACAGACAUUUGAAACACAAAGUGAUUUUACUUUAUAAUGAUAUAGAAAAAAUGUGAUACAAUACCCAUGCCCUCAUCUAGGACCAUCCAGUCAUUGCUAAUCAGAAAUAAAAUAGUGUGUCCUUCCUUAAAAUAUGUUUAUGGACAUUUAUAUAAUAAAAUUUCAAUUCUUUAUUGGUU